rnacentral:lncRNA from 1 species
UCCCUCAUUCAUUCAUUUAUUCCUUCCUUUCAUCCAUUUAUUCCCUCAUUUAUUCCUUCCUUCUUUCCUCUAUCCAUUUAUUUCCUCAUUUAUUCCCUCAUUUAUUCCUUCCUUCUUUCCUCUAUCCAUUUAUUUCCUCAUUUAUUCCCUCAUUUAUUCCUUCUUCCCUUCCAUUCACCCAUUUAUUCCCUCAUUUAUUCCUUCCUUCCUUCCUUCCAUUCAUUAUUUCCAUCCAUCCAUUCAUUCCUUCAAUCCUCCAUUCAUUCACUCGGUUCCUUCACUCCGUUCAUUCAUGCACUCCAUUCAUUCACUCACUCCACUCACUCAUUCAUUCAUUCAUUCCCCCGUUCCCAUUCCCGUCCCAGUCUCUUCCAUUUUUUAUUUCACCCCAACGCUUCGUUAAUUAAUUUCUUUUAAUAAUUCCAGCUGAUUAUUCCUUUCAACCCUUGUCGUCGUUUCCUUCGAUUCUUUUAUUUCAACGGUGCCUUUUAAUUAUUUUUAUUCCCUUCGAUACUCGUUAUUUUUUUAAUUAAUUCCGAUUGUUCCCUUUUGUUUUCAUUAUUUCCUUUGAUUUUGUGUUAUUUUAAUUAAUUCCAGUCAUUCCUUUUAAUUUCUAUUUUUCAUUAUUUCCUUUGAUUUUGUGUUAUUUUAAUUAAUUCCAGUCA